rnacentral:lncRNA from 1 species
GAUUCCUUAUUUCUGUUCAAGAGUGUUACAAGCCAAUUUUUAACCCAAGUACCCCUAACCCACUUACAUUCCAUCAGACGCAAUACAACAAAACAUUAAUCCAACCUUAACCCAUUCAACCCAUUACAGACAACCCAAUAACUAAAACCUAAUCAACUAACCCAAUACCUAUCAGCCCAUUAAACCCUUACCCAACACCUGACCCACCAUACCCACUUACCAAUUAAACGCUACCCAAGACCCAACAUGGCAAACCCAAACCCAGAAACCCAAAUCCCAACAAACCCUAGCCACCCAUACCCCUAAACCCAUUUGCGCCGAACCUACCUACCUACCCUCUGCGCCCCUAUGCCCCUGACUGCCGGCCACCUGCUCCACCAGCACCGGCCAUACCCUGUAAAGUGAAAGGAAGCACGCAAUAGCAAUCAGAAGAGAAACAAACAAUGUAAAAAAAAAGGGCUAUAAAAGCCAAAAGAAUAGACCAUUGUAGUGGUUCUUCUUUUUUUUGUUUUUUUUUUCUCUUCGGAAGUUUAAUCAAAAUACAAAGAAAACCAUUCGAUCUUUUAGCAAAUAUUACUUUCAUCAACAUUUAAAUACAAUACAUCAUCAAAUCAAAGAAAAGAUACCAGAAAUUGAGGAAUCAAAAGGGCAAAAGACCAAGGUAAUUUUCUUCAUUUUAGAUACUGUUUUGGGAUCGUUUUUUUUUCGCACAAAUAUCAAAAGAAUAUUGCAAAUAUAAAAAAAUAUAAUAUAAAAAAAUAAAAAAAAAGGAAAGAAAAUUACCUUUUUCGGCCACCGUGUACGGUGGCCGGCGCCGGCGAGCCUCCGGUGACCGUCCGGUGACCGGCCCAUGGCCGGGUUCCUCUCCCCCUCUCCCACUUCUCUCCUUCCCUCUUUUCUUGUUUUU